GAUGAACGCUGGCGGCGUGCCUAAUACAUGCAAGUCGAGCGAACGGACGAGAAGCUUGCUUCUCUGAUGUUAGCGGCGGACGGGUGAGUAACACGUGGAUAACCUACCUAUAAGACUGGGAUAACUUCGGGAAACCGUAGCUAAUACCGGAUAAUAUUUUGAACCGCAUGGUUCAAAAGUGAAAGACGGUCUUGCUGUCACUUAUAGAUGGAUCCGCGCUGCAUUAGCUAGUUGGUAAGGUAACGGCUUACCAAGGCAACGAUGCAUAGCCGACCUGAGAGGGGGAUCGGCCACACUGGAACUGAGACACGGUCCAGACUACUACGGGAGGCAGCAGUAGGGAAUCUUCCGCAAUGGGCGAAAGCCUGACGGAGCAACGCCGCGUGAGUGAUGAAGGUCUUCGGAUCGUAAAACUCUGUUAUUAGGGAAGAACAUAUGUGUAAGUAACUGUGCACAUCUUGACGGUACCUAAUCAGAAAGCCACGGCUAACUACGUG
rnacentral:rRNA from 1 species